rnacentral:rRNA from 1 species
UACGUAGGGGGCAAGCGUCAUCCGGAAUUAUUGGGCGUAAAGAGUACGUAGGUGGCAACCUAAGCGCAGGGUUUAAGGCAAUGGCUCAACCAUUGUUCGCCCUGCGAACUGGGAUGCUUGAGUGCAGGAGAGGAAAGCGGAAUUCCUAGUGUAGCGGUGAAAUGCGUAGAUAUUAGGAGGAACACCAGUGGCGAAGGCGGCUUUCUGGACUGUAACUGACACUGAGGUACGAAAGCGUGGGGAGCAAACAGG